CGCCUUGCCAGCCCGCUCAGAACUUAAAGGAAUUGACGGGGCCCGGCACAAGCGGUGGAGUAUGUGGUUUAAUUCGAUGCAACGCGAAGAACUUACCUGGUCUUGACAUCCCGGAGACCCUUAGGAAACUAGGGGGUGCUUCCAUCUGGAAGAAUCUGGAGACAGGUGCUGCAUGGCUGUCGUCAGCUCGUGUCGUGAGAUGUUGGGUUAAGUCCCGCAACGAGCGCAACCCUUGCCUUUAGUUGCCAGCAGUUCGGCUGGGCACUCUAAAGGGACUGCCGGUGUUAAACCGGAGGAAGGUGGGGAUGACGUCAAGUCCUCAUGGCCUUUAUGACCAGGGCUACACACGUACUACAAUGGCCGAUACAAAGGGCAGCGACACUGCGAGGUGAAGCCAAUCCCGUAAAAUCGGUCUCAGUCCGGAUUGGAGUCUGCAACUCGACUCCAUGAAGUUGGAAUCGCUAGUAAUCGUGGAUCAGCAUGCCACGGUGAAUACGUUCCCGGGCCUU
rnacentral:rRNA from 1 species